GGCGGUUCUCAGGUGAUGCAUCUCAGAAUCGGGCUCCCUCCUCUCUGGUUCCAGGGUCAUCACCUGAAAACCACA
rfam:Myotis davidii contig33131, whole genome shotgun sequence.